AUGAACGCUAGCUACAGGCUUAACACAUGCAAGUCGAGGGGCAGCAUGAACUUAGCUUGCUAAGUUUGAUGGCGACCGGCGCACGGGUGAGUAACACGUAUCCAACCUGCCGAUGACUCGGGGAUAGCCUUUCGAAAGAAAGAUUAAUACCCGAUGGCAUAGUUCUUCCGCAUGGUAGAACUAUUAAAGAAUUUCGGUCAUCGAUGGGGAUGCGUUCCAUUAGGUUGUUGGCGGGGUAACGGCCCACCAAGCCUUCGAUGGAUAGGGGUUCUGAGAGGAAGGUCCCCCACAUUGGAACUGAGACACGGUCCAAACUCCUACGGGAGGCAGCAGUGAGGAAUAUUGGUCAAUGGACGAGAGUCUGAACCAGCCAAGUAGCGUGAAGGAUGACUGCCCUAUGGGUUGUAAACUUCUUUUAUACGGGAAUAAAGUGAGGCACGUGUGCCUUUUUGUAUGUACCGUAUGAAUAAGGAUCGGCUAACUCCGUGCCAGCAGCCGCGGUAAUACGGAGGAUCCGAGCGUUAUCCGGAUUUAUUGGGUUUAAAGGGAGCGUAGGCGGACGCUUAAGUCAGUUGUGAAAGUUUGCGGCUCAACCGUAAAAUUGCAGUUGAUACUGGGUGUCUUGAGUACAGUAGAGGCAGGCGGAAUUCGUGGUGUAGCGGUGAAAUGCUUAGAUAUCACGAAGAACUCCGAUUGCGAAGGCAGCCUGCUGGACUGUAACUGACGCUGAUGCUCGAAAGUGUGGGUAUCAAACAGGAUUAGAUACCCUGGUAGUCCACACAGUAAACGAUGAAUACUCGCUGUUUGCGAUAUACAGUAAGCGGCCAAGCGAAAGCGUUAAGUAUUCCACCUGGGGAGUACGCCGGCAACGGUGAAACUCAAAGGAAUUGACGGGGGCCCGCACAAGCGGAGGAACAUGUGGUUUAAUUCGAAGCAACGCGAAGAACCUUACCAAGGCUUGACAUAUACAGGAAUAUUUAAGAGAUUAAAUAGCUCUUCGGAGUCUGUAUACAGGUGGUGCAUGGUUGUCGUCAGCUCGUGUCGUGAGAUGUUGGGUUAAGUCCCGCAACGAGCGCAACCCUUGUGAUAUGUUACUAACAUUGAGUUGAGGACUCAUAUCAGACUGCCGGUGAUAAACCGGAGGAAGGUGGGGAUGACGUCAAAUCAUCAUGCCCUUUAUGUCUUGGGCUACACACGUACUACAAUGGCUAUAACAAAGAGAAGCGAGACAGUGAUGUGGAGCAAAACUCAAAAAAAUAGUCUCAGUUCGGAUUGAAGGCUGAAAUUCGCCUUCAUGAAGCUGGAAUUGCUAGUAAUGGCAGGUCAGCAUACUGCCGUGAAUACGUUCCCGGGCCUUGUACACACCGCCCGUCACACCAUGAGAGUUGGGGAUACCCGAAGCCUGUGAGCCAACAGUUAAAUGAGGCAGCAGUCGAAGGUAGAAUCAAUGAUUGGGGUG
rnacentral:rRNA from 1 species